CGGCUAGCACAGGCACUCGAGUGACCAGAGAAGCUCGUGUGCAGCUGUGCUCGGAUGUCCACAGUAAGCUCCCCUGUAAAAAAUUAACAGGCCCCCAUAAACUGGGCCUCUAAGCCAGGAGAGGCGUCUAAUCAUACUUACAGCAGGAACUGAGACAGGAGCCAUUUUAGAGCCGACGCCAGGCCAUAGAAGGGCUGCAGGGAACAGAGAAGAGAGAAUUCUCGGUUGCUGAGAGACGGUCAACUUUCAGUCCCCCCCCCGCCUUCAAUCCUUCAGGGGGCUUCGGCAUUUCUGGAAGGUGUAUGUAUGGGCAUUAAAAAAAAAAAUAGCCGUGUCAUCCAAUCAGAAUUUUAGUUCUGUUGGCGCCUGAGGCGGAUGAAUGGCUCUGCAGGACUGCAGCGGCCCUCGAAAGCCCUCAGGCUGGCCUUGCCUGGCAGUUACCUGGGUGCUGCUCGGUGAAUACAAAUGCGUGGAUGAUGGAGAUUUACUGCGGUCGAUCGGGGGGCUCUGAGCCCACUGACCAAUCGGCACGUUUCCUCAGAAUGUCAAGGACGAAUGGCGAAAAUCUCUGAGAAAUGUCACUUGUGCGCCUCGCCAUCCACCCCGCCUGUGGCUUAAGGAUCUAACAUCGCAGACGCCACAAGUAGUGUGCUGAAACGCGUCCUUUGCAACGCUGGAACUCAAACGCAUGCAACAGUUGGAUUGGGUGUGUAAUGCUGCUUUUGAGUGGUGCAGCAGUGACUGAGGGAGCGAAGAGGUGAGAUAUUGCAGACGUACGCUGAGGAGGGGCCGGGCGCUGUUGGCAUGAUGGAGGGGGUUCUUGCACAUGGCCUGGUAAUCGUACAGCGAUAUCCUGGAGGAAGACGCACAAAAAUGCGUUCGCACGCACGCACACACACACAUACACGCACAAGCAGAAGGAAACACAAACGCAGACUGAAUUAUGACUUUCAUUCACUCAGAUACUCAACAGUGCAAUGGCUCCCGAAGGAAACAUAAACAACACAAGGCUUCUAAGGUGCAUAGCGUCUCCAGUGACAGAUGAUGCAAUAAAUGUUCCUGCAGUGACAGAGCCAAAAAAUGUCAAUUUGGGUCGCAGGCAUCAUUAAAAUGAAUUAUUAAUGACAGCACUACUUCUGGUAGGCAGUGGAUUGGCUCUUACCUUUUGAACAUGCCCAUCCUGAGCAGCUGUGUCAUCACAGCCCCUUCCAGUUCCCCCAAGAACUUCCCGACCUGCACAGAGGAUGACAGAGCUGGUCAUGUGACGGCUCUAGAACCAGGGAUGACAUCACAAUGAAGUUUGCAGCCUCGUGAUUGACUUGGCUGAUAAAGGCUCUUGCUGCCAAGCCCCCUGGGAUUCCAGACCUCAGCUUUUCUCCUCCUCGUCUCCAUUGCGUGGCCAGUGGCAGAGUGCCAGACGCAGAGUCCUCCUUCAGCACCUGCUGUCUCUCUUCACUGCUGUGUCCCUUAUAAUGCAGUCAUUUGGAUUUUCCCUGAGUCUGUAUCCUCUUAAGUGGUGAUGUUUUAUUGAUGUUUAUGAAUAUUACUGUAUAAUUUUGCUGACUGAGUGCAUGUGUUGUUCAGUUGAGUCUUCAUUCGUGUCGCCUAGGGGGAAAUAAGUUUGCAGCAGCUAUAAAAAUUAAGACGGGAUGACAAUAGAUACAGCACAUCCUCAAUCACACUCGUACAACAAUAUAUGCAUCCAUAAACAAUAAAACAUGUACCCCGUACCUACAUAAACUCAUGCUAGGGAGAAAUUAAAUGGAUGUAAAGUGCCUGUGUGACUGUGCGAGGGAAAUUAUGCCAUACUUCCUCGACUGCUUAUUAAGUAGACUAAUCGCCAGGGGAAUGAAUGAACAUUUUAAUCUGGUUGUGUUGCUCUUCAGCAGGCUGUACCAUGAACCAGAAGGAAGAAAAGAAAAUUCAGGAAACAAAGGGGGGUAAAAAUCUCAUGGGAUAGGCUGAGCUGUAUGCAGGGCUUGUCAGUUAAGCUAGCCUUGGAGGUGACUCUUGAGGUUGCAUUAUGUUUUGGUGGGCAGUGAACUUACACUUCCCACCCCAACAUACAGAGUCCUGUAUUUAGGCUUUGAACCAUAUUAAAAAGCAUAAUUAAGCUUUUUAAAAAACCACAAACUGGAAGAGUUUAAAUACGCUUGGGAAAUAAACAUGGCAAGGCAGUUUGGGAUGUGACCAAAUGGUUUUGCCAUUCUGUUUUUCCCCAGCUUUUAAAUAAAGAACUUUCUAAUUGUCAAAA